rnacentral:sRNA from 1 species
GCUGGGUGUGGUGGCGCGUGCCUGUAAUCCCAGCUACUCGGAGGCUGAGGCAGGAGAAUCGCUUGAACCCAGGAGGCAGAGCUUGCAGUGAGCCAAGAUCGCGCCACUGCACUCCAGCCUGGGUGACAGAGCGAGACUCCAUCUCAA